CCUUUGUACACACCGCCCGUCGCUACUACCGAUUGAAUGGCUCAGUGAGGCCUUCGGAUUGACUCCAGUUGAUCGGCAACGUUCUUCAGGAGCCGAGAAGUUGGUCAAACUUGGUCAUUUAGAGG
rnacentral:rRNA from 1 species